UACGUAGGGUGCAGGCGUUUAAUCGGAAUUACUGGGCGUAAAGGGUGCGCAAGUGGCGGCGCGCGUGGGGGGUGAAAUCGCCCGGCUUAACUGGGCGGGGGCCUUCCAGACGGCGUGGCUUGAGCAGCGGAGGGGGACGUGGAAUUCCGGGUGGAGCGGUGAAAUGCGUAGAGAUCCGGAGGAACACCGACGGCGCAGGCAGCGUCCUGGCCGCUUGCUGACACUGAGAAGCGAAAGCAUGGGGAGCGAACAGG
rnacentral:rRNA from 1 species